rnacentral:lncRNA from 1 species
UCCUUUUCUUCAUCCUCAAACAGCCGACUUUUUCUCCAAAAUAAGAACAGCCAUUUCCUUCUUUCAAGCUAAUUUAGUAGAGAGAUUUCAAGUGACAACUCCAAUAUCUUGAAAGAAAAAGGUGAAUUUCUUCAAUUCUCUGUUUUCCUACAAUUCUAGCUUGAAGAAAAUUUAUUCUUUCAAUUCUAGGGUUUUCGAAAAAUUUGGGGAUUUUAUUUUAGAGUUGAAGUAUGAUUCUAAUAUUGAUAUAUAUUAUGUUUUUGAUGAUUCCUAAGCAUGAUUGUGGUGGUUAAUUGCAGUAAUUGUUACUUGAUUUUUGAUUUUGCUCAAGUUAGUGUAAACCCUAUGUUUGAGUUUGAAGAGCUAUGAUAAGUUCUUGAAUAAUUGAGUUUGUAUAUGUGUUCUUGAGCUAUAAUUAUUUCAUAUAUGAGUAUAUUAUGAAUUUACACCACAUAGUUUGGAAAAUUGAUUUUGUUAGUUUAGUGAAAAUUAGGGCUUUGAGCUAAGAAGGUUCAUAUCCUAUUGUCUUAUGGUUAUAGGUAUAUUAUGAUGUGAUUUUAUUAAUUAUUGAGAUUAGAACAGCCCUACUACCCAAUUCUUUUAUAAAGCUCUAUUGUAUAAAGAGCAGGGAAGUGAUAAAGUUGCUAUUUUUAUGCAUAUGGAUGAGAUUAGUGGCUCUAAUAAUUGAGUUUAAAUUGAGAUCAUCGAGAUUUUAUUUCAAAGAGAUUGAGGAGAUUGAUAAAGUUAGUUUAUUAAACUAAAUAUGUAUCUAUUCAUUGAGAAUUGACAAACAUCUAUGAGCUUAUUCUUUGUUUUCUUAUUGAGUUAAGAGGAGUGAGUGGUGUUAUUGUAUUGAUGAUAUGUUGUGAGGAAAUGUUAGGAUAAUAAGUGAAUAGCAAAUAUGAGUUAUUGUUGUAAUAUUAUAUAUAUAUAUAUAUAUAUAUAUAUAUACUUACUUAUUUUCUUACAAAUUUUUAUCUAUUUAAAGGUUCCGGCUAGGAACGAGCCCAACACUAGAGUACGAAGUAAGAGAAACAUAUCAGGUGGGCUUACUAACUCAAGAAACAAAGAUGCAUACUUUAAUAUAUAAAGUUUAAGUGUAUGCAUUUAUUUUCAAAUUGUUGACUUGCCAAUGUUUAAGAUUUGUAUGAUACCAUCUACAUAGAAGAACGAAUUCGGGUCCUGAGCGAGUCAGGAUUUGUGUACACAGAGUGACGGUUAACCUUGAGUUAGCUUGUCGUUACGUUUGGGAAGGAGGCCUACUUCUCAACGUGUUUAUUGAGACUAGUAGAUAUGGUACAUACUUACAUGAGAACUUAGUCUGCGCAGACACUUUCAAAUACUAUGUAAAAACAGUUUAGCAAACACAGGUUGCUUCAGAAAAUCCCUUGUGUAUUGCUUAAAGUGGCAAGUUCAAUAUAUAGCAUUAUCAUGCAGAGUUUUAAAUGUUUUCGGCAUAUGUUCACUGAGUGCUUGUGGUACUCAGCCCUGCAUAUCUUUUUAAAUGUGCAGGUUAAGUUUGGAUGAAGAUGGAAGUGUGCUGAGCUGGAGUUUUUUUGUAUGUAAUAGUAAUAGGCUCAGGAUAUUGUGUCUUCAUACAUAAUGUCCAAUUAUGUACUCCGCUGCAACACUUUGUCUCUCUUAUCACUUUUGCCGUGUUGUAGAAUGUUUGAAAACCUUAACCUGUAUAUGAGCUUGACUAAAUCUUGGUUAUGAUGUUUAUUUGGUUUAAACUUCUUUUGUUAAAGGAUGUGGCUGGAUUAUUGAUUAUGAUGAAGGUUAAUUAUUUAAUUGUCUUAGUUUCCUUUCAAUUACUUUCCAUCUCUCGUUUCUCCACCCUAGUCGUAUGAUACAUGGUCUAGCUAUCUUCCUCCUAGGCCGGGCUACGACAAAGUGGUAUCAGAGCAGGCCCUUUGCUCUGAGCCUAAAUUAUUUUGAGUUUAGUCUAGAUUGUAUCUCUAGACUACUAGAAUAUUAAUGAUGAAUGCUCAGCGCGCACACCAUCUCAUCCAGCUUAAUCAGGUAUGAGUUUAAAUUAUUUUCUUCCUUUUAGGUAAAAAAAUUAUGAUGUGAUUUAAAGAGUUUGAGUUACUGAUAAAUGAAAUGAUGGAUGAUGCUAUUUAUGAGAUUCUUGGAGUGAUGUUUCAGUUUAGAAUGGAUAUGAAUUUUAUUACAUGAUUAUGAGAUUGUUUUGGAUUAUUGUUCAUUUCAAACUUGUUAUGAUAUUGUAAGUAAGAUAAUGUCUAAUUAUUCAAGUGUGUGUUAUUUGAGUGAACUAUUUUAUUAUUUGGGAGAUUUAUUAGGAGUUAGUUUUUAUGAGUAUUAUGUUAAGCUAAGUUGUAAAGGUUAUAUUGGGCAGGAUGGCUCGUACCCUACGUACCGCGAGGAAGAGAGUUAGUGCUAGAGCGACACGGGAUGAGAUUCGCUGGGAGUACCUUCACUAUGGCAUGUGCUGGAGAGACACAUUGGGGGAAUUUCUUGCCCACUUCCAUGAGCACUGGUUGGCAGCUAGCAUGUAUGGGAUCUCCUCGUAUGAUGGCAUUAUUCGACUGUUGACUCUACUUCCAUCCGACUGGAAGGGUUGGGUGACCUCCAUUGCCUCAGACUACUUAUACCAUUAUGGUGAGGAGUACGACCUGUAUGUAGAUUUUCCAGGUUUCG